rnacentral:misc_RNA from 1 species
GUGCUCAACCUCUUCAUCCGUAUACUGAAAGAGAAACAUGACAAAUCAAGAGCAAUUUUUCCGUUAUAGACAUGCAAAUAUACUACAACGGAAAAAGAUGAUGAAUAUUGCAACUAAAGAUUUUCAAAAUGAAAAUAGUGAUAAAUACAAAAUGCACUUCAAGAUUGUUCAGAAAGAAGAGAGGAUAAGCAAAUGCAAAGUACAAGAUGACUGAAGUUACCAAGACAUCAGACUUAUGAAGCCCUAAUUAUUGAUAUAUUUUACAAGUUUGAUAGUUAAGUUAAAUUAAUUUAAGGCUGCAUUCGGAUAGGUGUGAAUUUGAAAUGAUAAAGUAUUUCAAUUUGAUAUUAUGUUGAAAUUUUUUAAUUUUUCACUUGAAACACAAGUUCAAAUUCUCAAUCAUUUCAAAUGC